rnacentral:rRNA from 1 species
AGGAAGUAAAAGUCGUAACAAGGUUUCCGUAGGUGAACCUGCGGAGGAUCAUUACCGAAUUGUCAACACGAGUUGUUGCUGGUCCUCGAACGGGGGCAUGUGCACGCUCUGUUUACACAUCCACUCACACCUGUGCACCUUCUGUAGUUCUGUGGCAUGGGGGACUCUGUCCUCCUGUUGUGGUCCUACGUCUUUACACACACUCUGUAAAAAAGUCUCAUGGAAUGCAUGACGCGUUUAACGCAAUACAAUACAACUUUCAGCAACGGAUCUCUUGGCUCUCGCAUCGAUGAAGAACGCAGCGAAAUGCGAUAAGUAAUGUGAAUUGCAGAAUUCAGUGAAUCAUCGAAUCUUUGAACGCACCUUGCGCCCUUUGGCUAUUCCGAAGGGCAUGCCUGUUUGAGUAUCGUGAACACCUCAACUCUCAUGGUUUGCCAUGAUGAGCUUGGACUUUGGGGGUCUUGCUGGCCUGUGGUCAGCUCCUCUCAAAUGGAUCAGCUUGCCAGUGUUUGGUGGCAUCACAGGUGUGAUAACUAUCUACGCUUGUGGUUUUCUACCAGAUAACCUUCAGUGAUGGAGGUUCGCUGGAGCUCAUAAAUGUCUCUCCUCGGUGAAGACAGCUUUUCGAACGUUUGAUCUCAAAUCAGGUAGGACUACCCGCUGAACUUAAGCAUAUCAAUAAA